AUUGAACGCUGGCGGCAUGCCUUACACAUGCAAGUCGAACGGUAACAGGUCUUCGGAUGCUGACGAGUGGCGAACGGGUGAGUAAUACAUCGGAACGUGCCCGAGAGUGGGGGAUAACGAAGCGAAAGCUUUGCUAAUACCGCAUACGAUCUCAGGAUGAAAGCAGGGGACCGCAAGGCCUUGCGCUCACGGAGCGGCCGAUGGCAGAUUAGGUAGUUGGUGGGAUAAAAGCUUACCAAGCCGACGAUCUGUAGCUGGUCUGAGAGGACGACCAGCCACACUGGGACUGAGACACGGCCCAGACUCCUACGGGAGGCAGCAGUGGGGAAUUUUGGGCAAUGGGCGCAAGCCUGAUUCAGCCAUGCCGCGUGCAGGAUGAAGGCCUUCGGGUUGUAAACUGCUUUUGUACGGAACGAAAAGACUCCUUCUAAUAAAGGGGGUCCAUGACGGUACCGUAAGAAUAAGCACCGGCUAACUACGUGCCAGCAGCCGCCGUAAUAC
rnacentral:rRNA from 1 species